ACCUGGCUGGCUCAGUCGGUGGAGCAUGUGACUCUUGAUCCCUGGGUUGUGAGUUUGAGCCCCAUGUUAGGUG
rnacentral:tRNA from 1 species